CAGAGGUCAGGUGACUGUGACUCAGACUCCUUCAGUGCAAACUGUUGUUCCAGGAAACACAGUCACCAUCAACUGUAGAACCAGUAGCAGGGUGUAUUAUGGUAACGAACUACACUGGUACCUGCAGAAACCUGGAGAAGUUCCUAAACUCCUGAUCUAUGAGGCUACUAACUUAAACUCAGGGACUCCAGCUCGUUUCAGAGGUAAUAGGAGAAAGAGUGAAAAAAUAAAACCCUGCCGGUGGUCCUCCACCUCCAGAUUAUACACUGGCUGAAGAAUUGGCCCUUUAAUGGAGGACCAUAGCUCUGAAAUGCCUCUUCUGACCCAGGUGGCUCCAGCAUAUCAAAGCCUUUUGUAGACGUUGAGUAAAAGUGGACUAAAAUAAAAUGUAAUUGAAAUAGAUGUGUAGGAAUUAAUAAGCUGUGUGUUUCCUCUUUGUUCAGUAAGACUGCUAGAGCCUGGCAGCACUACACAUGAGGUGAUUAUUGUGUACUGGGCACAAGUGACUUUAGUGUAUUCAAUACAUUAAUUGUAGUCAAUUUUGAACAUAAUCCUGAUAUACAGAUGAUCUCUGUGUGCUCUGAGAGGUCUUUGGGAGUAAACUCACUCACUGCUUUCAUAGUAAAUUACUUCAGUGGUCUACACAAAGUCUUGUAUGUUCAAAUUUAUCUACUAGCAAUAUGUUUUCCUGCUUAAUCCAUGGGGUAACAGCCUUACUCCCAACCUAGCACCUCCACCUGUAGGCAUACCAGGGUGACCUCAGAGGUAAAUCAGUAUUUUAAAAAAAUCUGUAUGAAUGGUAUAGUAUUGCCAUGUUGAAAUGUGCUUUAACGUACUUCUCAAAUAUUCUUAAUGCCUUAAUGUAGCAUUUUUUCUCCUUUGCAGAAAAGACAAAUCACUGAAUUAAAAAAGAAUAAAUGGACAAA